CCUACGGGCGGCUGCAGUGGGGAAUUUUGGACAAUGGGCGCAAGCCUGAUCCAGCCAUUCCGCGUGAGUGAAGAAGGCCUUCGGGUUGUAAAGCUCUUUCGCACGGGAAGAAAACUUAUCCUCUAACAUAGGAUGAGGUUGACGGUACCUUGAUAAGAAGCACCGGCUAACUACGUGCCAGCAGCCGCGGUAAUACGUAGGGUGCGAGCGGUAAUCGGAAUUACUGGGCGUAAGGCGGAAGUCAGCUGUGAAAUCCCCGAGCUUAACUUGGGAACUGCGUUUGAAACUACAAGACUAGAAUAGGUCAGAGGGGGGUAGAAUUCCACGUGUAGCAGUGAAAUGCGUAGAGAUGUGGAGGAAUAUCAAUGGCGAAGGCAGCCCCCUGGGAACAUAUUGACGCUCAUGCACGAAAGCGUGGGGAGCAAACAGGAUUAGAUACCCGAGUAGUC
rnacentral:rRNA from 1 species